CCUACGGGGGGCAGCAGUGGGGAAUAUUGCACAAUGGGGGAAACCCUGAUGCAGCGACGCCGCGUGAGUGAAGAAGUAUUUCGGUAUGUAAAGCUCUAUCAGCAGGGAAGAAAAUGACGGUACCUGAUUAAGAAGCCCCGGCUAACUACGUGCCAGCAGCCGCGGGAAUACGUAGGGGGCAAGCGUUAUCCGGAUUUACUGGGUGUAAAGGGAGCGUAGACGGCAGCACAAGUCUGGAGUGAAAUGCCGGGGCUCAACCCCGGAACUGCUUUGGAAACUGUGCAGCUAGAGUGCAGGAGAGGUAAGUGGAAUUCCUAGUGUAGCGGUGAAAUGCGUAAAUAUUAGGAGGAACACCAGUGGCGAAGGCGGCUUACUGGACUGUAACUGACGUUGAGGCUCGAAAGCGUGGGGAGCAAACAGGAUUAGAUACCCGAGUAGUC
rnacentral:rRNA from 1 species